GUGGGGAAUCUUAGACAAUGGGCGCAAGCCUGAUCUAGCCAUGCCGCGUGAGCGAUGAAGGCCUUAGGGUUGUAAAGCUCUUUCGUGGGGGAAGAUAAUGACUGUACCCCAAGAAGAAGCCCCGGCUAACUCCGUGCCAGCAGCCGCGGUAAUACGGAGGGGGCUAGCGUUGUUCGGAAUUACUGGGCGUAAAGCGCACGUAGGCGGACUGGAAAGUCAGGGGUGAAAUCCCGGGGCUCAACCCCGGAACUGCCUUUGAAACUCCCAGUCUUGAGUUCGAGAGAGGUGAGUGGAAUUCCGAGUGUAGAGGUGAAAUUCGUAGAUAUUCGGAGGAACACCAGUGGCGAAGGCGGCUCACUGACUCGAUACUGACGCUGAGGUGCGAAAGCGUGGGGAGCAAACAGGAUUAGAAACCCUAGUAGUCC
rnacentral:rRNA from 1 species